rnacentral:misc_RNA from 1 species
AAGUCGUAACAAGGUAACCGUAGGUGAACCUGCGGUUGGAUCAUUAAUAAUGAACCACUCUAGGGUCGAGUCUUUACUAGCUUGCUGGUAUCGAUUCCCUUAGGGUAUAAACCACUGUGCAUCGUAAUGUUUUUUGGGAGAUGUGCGAUAGGGUAACCUGUCCUGCUCCCAGCGUUAUCAACCAACCUAUUAAAUUUAUCUGAUUUUUUUUCGAAUGAAAAUAAAAACAACUUUAGACAACGGAUCUCUUGGCUCUC